CAAGUCGAACGAUGAAGCUUCUAGCUUGCUAGAAGUGGAUUAGUGGCGCACGGGUGAGUAAGGUAUAGUUAAUCUGCCCUACACAAGAGGACAACAGUUGGAAACGACUGCUAAUACUCUAUACUCCUGCUUAACACAAGUUGAGUAGGGAAAGUUUUUCGGUGUAGGAUGAGACUAUAUAGUAUCAGCUAGUUGGUAAGGUAAUGGCUUACCAAGGCUAUGACGCUUAACUGGUCUGAGAGGAUGAUCAGUCACACUGGAACUGAGACACGGUCCAGACUCCUACGGGAGGCAGCAGUAGGGAAUAUUGCGCAAUGGGGGAAACCCUGACGCAGCAACGCCGCGUGGAGGAUGACACUUUUCGGAGCGUAAACUCCUUUUCUUAGGGAAGAAUUCUGACGGUACCUAAGGAAUAAGCACCGGCUAACUCCGUGCCAGCAGCCGCGGUAAUACGGAGGGUGCAAGCGUUACUCGGAAUCACUGGGCGUAAAGGGCGCGUAGGCGGAUUAUCAAGUCUCUUGUGAAAUCUAAUGGCUUAACCAUUAAACUGCUUGGGAAACUGAUAGUCUAGAGUGAGGGAGAGGCAGAUGGAAUUGGUGGUGUAGGGGUAAAAUCCGUAGAUAUCACCAAGAAUACCCAUUGCGAAGGCGAUCUGCUGGAACUCAACUGACGCUAAGGCGCGAAAGCGUGGGGAGCAAACAGGAUUAGAUACCCUGGUAGUCCACGCCCUAAACGAUGUACACUAGUUGUUGGGGUGCUAGUCAUCUCAGUAAUGCAGCUAACGCAUUAAGUGUACCGCCUGGGGAGUACGGUCGCAAGAUUAAAACUCAAAGGAAUAGACGGGGACCCGCACAAGCGGUGGAGCAUGUGGUUUAAUUCGAAGAUACGCGAAGAACCUUACCUGGGCUUGAUAUCCUAAGAACCUUUUAGAGAUAAGAGGGUGCUAGCUUGCUAGAACUUAGAGACAGGUGCUGCACGGCUGUCGUCAGCUCGUGUCGUGAGAUGUUGGGUUAAGUCCCGCAACGAGCGCAACCCACGUAUUUAGUUGCUAACGGUUCGGCCGAGCACUCUAAAUAGACUGCCUUCGUAAGGAGGAGGAAGGUGUGGACGACGUCAAGUCAUCAUGGCCCUUAUGCCCAGGGCGACACACGUGCUACAAUGGCAUAUACAAUGAGACGCAAUACCGCGAGGUGGAGCAAAUCUAUAAAAUAUGUCCCAGUUCGGAUUGUUCUCUGCAACUCGAGAGCAUGAAGCCGGAAUCGCUAGUAAUCGUAGAUCAGCCAUGCUACGGUGAAUACGUUCCCGGGUCUUGUACUCACCGCCCGUCACACCAUGGGAGUUGAUUUCACUCGAAGCCGGAAUACUAAACU
rnacentral:rRNA from 1 species